AAAAAAGAAAAAAAAACAGGGGGAUCGCUCCUGCAAGCCCUAGCCGCCACAUCUCCUGCGUCCUACCACCGCCGCCGCUGUUCCUGUCUCCGCCGGCGCCGCCGCCGCCGCCGGUUCAGCCGUCGUCGUCCUUCGCCACCCCAUCCGCUCGUCUCCUUGGUGAGCUGCUGCUGUGUUCUUCCCUGCUGUUCCUGUUUUCCCUAAUGCUGCCGCCAAUUGGAUCUGUUCUGGUGUUGGUGCCGCUGCCUGUGCAUGCUAACGUUCCUGCUGCUGCUCAUGCUAUAGCGUGGCUUGCUGCUUGACGCUGCUGCAUCGAUCAGAGACGAGAAGGCUCCAGACAGCACAGGAAGCAGUUGAACAGGAGUAACAAGGGAAGGAAAAGGUAGAACAACUUUGGGGAAUUUCAGCGAUUUCGCAGAUUAGGGAAAUUUGUUGCAAAGUAGUGUUUCUCUGCAAUUGGAACUUUCUUUUAGUCUCUAGAUGUAAAAGAUUUCAAUAGGAAUUAAUUCGUUGGCAGUUUGUGC
rnacentral:sRNA from 1 species